AGCAGCGUGGCUCAGUGGAAAGAGCCUGGGCUUGAGAGUCAGAGGUCAUAGGUUCGAAUCCCGGCUCUGCCA
rnacentral:tRNA from 1 species